AACCUAGAGAUUCACAUCUAAAAGGGCCGCAACACGAAAUAAACUUCUCUCUCUUCAGAGGCAGCGGGGAAGAAAAAGAAAAAAAAGCCUAGGUGGGUUCGGUUUGAUCCAUUUCCGCGACUCCGUGCGCUCAGGGGCUCUGGGCUGGUGCGGGCGGCUUAACCCUGUGAGAGCCGAGAACGACCCCACCGGGAUACGCGGGCCCCGGGCUGGCGGGGGGUGCCUCACGCCGCGCCCGUUCCCCCGCCAGCAGGUGCCCGAAGCCACCCCAACAGGCCGGGUGCGAAUGCCGGAACAUGGCCACUUUCCUGAGCGGGAUGAUGCCGCCGCCGCCGCCGCACGCCGCCCAGCACUUUGUUAACUUGGCGCGCCCGGGCGAGGUGGCUCCCAGGAGGUGAUCAUUGCCGUCCGAGAGCUACAGAGCCCCUGGCCUCGCCCAGCACGGGUGUGGGGCCGCGGCGGGAGGAAGAGGUUGGGUAGCAGCCGCUAACCAGGGGCCCGCACGCCUGGCCCCUCGGAGCCCCGCGCCCCCUUCCCAGGUGCUUACCUGAGGGAAGGAGCCCUCGCGGCGCGGGUUCCUGGGGUAGUCUAAGUGACCCCGGUCCAGCAUCAGGUAGAGCGAGAAAAUCACCACACAGAAGAUCGCACUGCCGAACACGGUGAACUGGCGGCUUAACUUCAUUUUCCUCGAUAGACUCGGGGCCAGGACACUCUCCUCAGCCAAAGGAGACAGCGCACUGUGGACUCUAGGAAGCAGCCGCCGGAGGCUCCCUUCUCCCGGGCUGCGCGACCUCCGCGCUCUCGGAUGCGGGUGCGAGUCCCCGCCUUGCUCCGCACCUAGUCUCCGGCGCCACCACACGCCCUUGGCCUUCGCCCUGGCCUGCCGCCCUCCCCGGGGUCGGGCGCCCCUCUCGAGGCGAGACUCGCCGGCAACUGGGAAGGGGGGCCCCCACAAACUUGAUCGCAAGCUCAGCGCCGACCUCCGGCAGGGCGCGCGGGGCAGGCGGAGGAGAGGUCGCUGCCCGCACUUCCUGCCACCGCCGCCCCAACUGAGUCGGCAGGAAAAGUUUUCUCGACGAGGGCAGGCGUGUCCUCCUCACCCAGGGGAGGCGCGGGUUCGGCAGCUCCCGGGCCGGGGCCGCGCAGCUAGGUCAGAGAAGCGGAGGGGAAAGGAACAAGAUCGCGAGGAGCCAAGCCCUACAACUUCUGGGCGGGACGGUCGGGCCCGCCCCCGCGGCACCGGCACCGCCCCCGCCUACCCCGACUGAGCCCCUUCGUGCUGCUGCCGCCGCCGCCGCCGACGCUGCGGCUGGGCCGAUGUGCACCCCGGACUCCGGGGCUCACGGAUUGAUGAGUUUCCUCAGAGCUAGCGUCCGCUCGCCAGACUCUCCCGCCCCCCGCCGCCCCUACCUUCCCCCUCCCGGACCCAGGCUCCGCGGGGAGGCGCAGGGGGCGGGCGGCGGCAACGCGGAAAGAAGGAAAAGGAGAGCAGGGAGGAAAGGACCGUCCCCGGAGAGAAGCCCGCUCCAGCUGCAGCCGCUAGCCCCCUCCCUCUUUCCCGCCCCACAAACGCGGAGAUGGCGGCGGAAGCGGCGAAAGGAAGCGCCGGUUCUCCAGCGCCACUUGGCGCUCCAGCACCGCCCGCCACGAGCAGGAGGAGACAGCGGCGGCGCAGCAGCCGCUGGGUCAAUAGGCGCCCGCAGCGCCUGAGCCGAGCGGGCGGCUGGCCCCGCCCCCUCCCGACGCUCCGAGAUGAGGGGGCGGGCCCCACGGCGCCCAAUCACAGCGCGUCGCCCGGCGGACCCGCCCCGCGCCUGCCUCCCAGUGUCCCGGCGAUAGGAAGACCUCACAGGGCUCUUGUGACCUGGCAGGCAGCUUUCUGGGAGUUGAGGCCUUCGGGGGCGUUCAGGCGCCAGCACCCCCACGUCCAACAGGGGUUGAGCUUACACCCCACUUCCCUUUGUUGCUCAGGUUUCCUAUCCUAGGACACUCGGGCCUGGCGUGCCUGGAAGAGUACUUGGUGACGGGCUGGAGGAAAUGCAAGAGAAGAGGGCUUGCACAUUCUCUUCGGGCUCACUAUUUCCUCCUUUGGUGACAGCCUGUUAAAACCUGGGGGAAAGGAGACUGACAAAGGGCCGUCCAGGCACAUGUAGAAACAUCUGACUACGAAAUCCAUGAGUGUAAUCUGAGAAGUGAUGCUUCUGCCAGUUAUUGAUUUAUUGCCUCUCAGCUCCAAAUUCGCCCUUUUUGACUGCACUGUAAAAACGGAUCUGAGCCUUUUAAACAGUUUUUCGUUUGCCUUCUGGGACUGAAGCUUUAUCAGCAGAGGGCGCUGAAGAGACAUUACAGAAAAAAAGGAUUUUGCUUCCUGAUUUCUGUGUAUUGAUAAGCUUUUGCAGCAUACCUGGCUUUCUCCACUGCCAAGGUCCUAUAGUGCUCAGUAACUAGCAAUUUCCUCUCACAUGCCCAACUCUAGGAGCUUUGUAGAGGAGGUGAGACACUACCCCAUGAAUAACUUCCCUGGCACCCUAGAGGCAUUUGCAGCAAGUUGCAGAGGGCACAUCUUCCACAAGCUUUGCAGACGUAGCCCAAUGGUGACUUCUCUGCCAUUCAGUGAGCCAGGUCAUGCCCUCUCCAAAAACGUCUAGAUCUUAGCCCUGGGAGGAAUUGGGGAGGUUCUUCAUUGGGCACUCUGUCUCUCAACCCAAGAGUUAGUUAUAAGGUUAGCUCCUUAUAGCUGCUGUUGCUAUAUUCUUUAAAGUUCUCUUCUUGCUAGUGAAUCCUUCAUUACUCUAAUCCUCUAUUAUAGUUAACAAUUCUUUUUAUUAAGCCUUCCCUGUCCCGGGAGUAGUCCCAAGAAAUAGACCUGCAAAGAUGGGAUUAAAGGUCAGUUUGAUUGAGGUUUUGAGCUUUAGCUCCUUGCCAAAGGGAAAUGUAAUUCAUGACAUGCUGGGCAUCUCAAUUAAGCAAUUACCUGUGGUUGAUCCUGAUGAAGUGCCAACUGAAGCCUGUGCCUUGGGGCCCCAAGUGGCUGCUACACUUGACUGCUAUGGUUAUAAAGAUGACUAGAAAGACUGGUGUGGGAUGGAUUCUUUUGCGUGCUUUUGAGUGGUUAUAAAGAGAAAUGACAAGCACAGGUUUUUUAACUCUCAGAGUUAUGGUAUGAGAACCAGAGAUAUUCUGCAGAAUUCCAAAAGCUCUGGUUUAUUGUAGCAACAAGAAUUAUGCUGAGAAUCAAACAAAAUUUUAAUUUUCAUGUUACUGAAUUAUAACUGCUAUUAAAUUCACACAUAUUCUGA
rnacentral:lncRNA from 1 species